CCUACGGGAGGCAGCAGUGGGGAAUAUUGGACAAUGGGGGCAACCCUGAUCCAGCCAUGCCGCGUGUGUGAAGAAGGCCCUCGGGUUGUAAAGCACUUUCAGUGAGGAAGAACGCCUGGUGGUUAAUACCCAUCAGGAAAGACAUCACUCACAGAAGAAGCACCGGCUAACUCCGUGCCAGCAGCCGCGGUAAUACGGAGGGUGCGAGCGUUAAUCGGAAUUACUGGGCGUAAAGCGCGCGUAGGUGGCUUGAUAAGCCGGUUGUGAAAGCCACGGGCUCAACCUGGGAACGGCAUCCGGAACUGUCAAGCUAGAGUGCAGGAGAGGAAGGUAGAAUUCCCGGUGUAGCGGUGAAAUGCGUAGAGAUCGGGAGGAAUACCAGUGGCGAAGGCGGCCUUCUGGACUGACACUGACACUGAGGUGCGAAAGCGUGGGUAGCAAACAGGAUUAGAUACCCGAGUAGUC
rnacentral:rRNA from 1 species